AGAGUUUGAUCAUGGCUCAGGACGAACGCUGGCGGCGUGCCUAACACAUGCAAGUCGAACGGGGUGUAUGUUUUCGGAUGUGCACCUAGUGGCGGACGGGUGAGUAAUACAUGAGCAACCUGCCCUGGAGAGGGGGACAACAGCUGGAAACGGCUGCUAAUACCGCAUGAAGUGCGGGGAAGGCAUCUUCCCUGCACCAAAGAUUUAUCGCUCUGGGAUGGGCUCAUGUCUGAUUAGUUAGUUGGUGGGGUAACGGCCCACCAAGACUGCGAUCAGUAGCCGAACUGAGAGGUUGAACGGCCACAUUGGGACUGAGAUACGGCCCAGACUCCUACGGGAGGCAGCAGUGGGGAAUAUUGGGCAAUGGGCGCAAGCCUGACCCAGCAACGCCGCGUGAAGGAAGAAGGCCUUCGGGUUGUAAACUUCUUUUAUGAGGGACGAAGAAGUGACGGUACCUCAUGAAUAAGCCACGGCUAACUACGUGCCAGCAGCCGCGGUAAUACGUAGGUGGCGAGCGUUGUCCGGAUUUACUGGGUGUAAAGGGCGCGUAGGCGGGAUGGCAAGUCAGAUGUGAAAUCCCCGGGCUUAACCCGGGAACUGCAUUUGAAACUGUCGUUCUUGAGUAUCGGAGAGGCAAGCGGAAUUCCUAGUGUAGCGGUGAAAUGCGUAGAUAUUAGGAGGAACACCAGUGGCGAAGGCGGCUUGCUGGACGACAACUGACGCUGAGGCGCGAAAGCGUGGGGAGCAAACAGGAUUAGAUACCCUAGUAGUCC
rnacentral:rRNA from 1 species